rnacentral:piRNA from 1 species
UGGUAAUGUGUUGUACCAAAU